CGGUCUCUCGCAGCUUAGGGCAAGUACCACCGACUCGACCCUGCCCAUACGCCCACGGCCUGAGACUUCAGUGGCCAGCAUGCACUAGAGACAGGCCGAGAUGGAGGCAAAGUUUGAGGAGGAGAGGAGGUGCCGAAUGGAGAUCGAGGCCAAGCUGGAGCAGGAGCGGAAGCUGAGGGAGGAGCAGUCGGUUAUGUUGCACAGCAUGGUCACCUAGAUGCAAGGACUUGGCGCGUCGAUGAACUAUGCGACGCCGCCUCCUCCCUUCGCCUUACCAGCUCAGCCUUACUUUCCUGCAGGACCUUCUGACACUCCCAAUCAGUCGUGGAACGCAUCGAACGACCCUCCUCCGGACCAGAACUCGCCGGCGGCCCCGUGGCAAUCUUGGCCACCCCCCUCCACCUGACCGUGAGUGAUUUGUAGUACCCUACUGGACUUGUGAUGUGAUGGACUUGUAGUACUCUU